UCGUCUUAUACGCCGGAAUAUACGGUAUAUGCUGUAGAACAUGUUACUGAAUAAGAUGUUUUAUACAAUAUUGGAAAACUAUCAGCUCAAAGCAGCAAAUUAAGAAACCUGAGAAAUGCAGAGAUGUUUUUCUAGUAAAUCACAUGUCACUAGGUCACCUGUUAAUUGCUUGAAGAUGAUUGUCUAGGCUGAUGCAGGGGACCUAUAGCCCUCCAGGUAUUAUUGAACAACUAACUCCCAGGAUCCUACUCCAUUGGUAUGCUAGACGGAAAGCCAGAGGUUGUUCACAAAGAAAGACCCUUGGAAGGAUGUAAUCCAAAGUUGUUUAUGUGGAAUUUAUAUUUCACAUUUCCUCCAGAGACCAUGGCAUUGCACACAGUAUUUCUCCUACUCCAUGUUAUCCCCACAACAGCCCCCUAAUGAAGUUAAAAAAGAUUAUGAUGGAUGCACAAUUAUCGUUUUUCAAUAAAUUCCAUUCAGUUUUAGAUGACCUGGAUGCCUGAGAAUCUCUAUAGACAUUGUUCCCUACUUUGUUCAUAUCUAUCAGCUUCUAGGAGACAGGAAUGCAAGAAUGUCUAGGAUGGUCUGUAACAACUCCCAAUGCUUGUUGAUGGACCCCAACCCCCAGUCCUUCAAUUUCCCCACCCCCUUCUAUUUCUCCACAGUGCUUUCCCUCCACUUCUUCUUUUGCCUUUCCUAUGGAAGCUGUCCCUCUAAAUCUCCUCAAUUAAACUAUUAUGUCUUACCUUAUUUUCUAUUCUUGGUAUGCUUUGAUCUUGGGACUUCCUGAUAUAUUUACUGCUUCUGUUGUCUCCUUAACUACGUACCCCCCCCUUCCCCCAUGCUUUAUUUCCCGCUUUUCUUGCCAGUUUGGGUUUUUCUUGAAAUGAUCCAUUCUUUCAAACAUUCUCUUCCAAAAGAAAGCAAAUACUGCAGCAUUUUUAAAUCAGCAGAUGGAAUCUCUGAGCUGAUCAGUACUGGGAAAGAUUUCCUUUGGAGGGGUGGAUUCCACACUGCAGAAGGCAUUCGAACUGGAUAACAAUCCUUAUAUUACAUUGUUUUAUGAAAAACAAAGUUCCAGGGUUUAACAAAAAUAGUAUUACCUUCCAAAGAAAUAAACUAAAAUUAAAAUAACCCAAUAUUACAUUAAAAUUAAAAUGCCAAUACCUGUUAAAAAGUGGCCCCAGGUUCACUCCCUCUUGAGUUAGUCCUAACCAUGCUCUGUAAAAACUAGCAUGGCCCCACAAGCUGAUGAAAGUUAUGUUUUCCUGCUAUAGUUUAGCACCUCAUUUGACGUAAAUCUCCUUUUCACAUUCUGAAAUAUCCAAAUAAUUUGAUAUAAUAUCCUGAUUAUAACAGAGAACAAGA